rnacentral:rRNA from 1 species
UGGGGAAUAUUGCACAAUGGGCGCAAGCCUGAUGCAGCCAUGCCGCGUGUAUGAAGAAGGCCUUCGGGUUGUAAAGUACUUUCAGCGGGGAGGAAGGGAGUAAAGUUAAUACCUUUGCUCAUUGACGUUACCCGCAGAAGAAGCACCGGCUAACUCCGUGCCAGCAGCCGCGGUAAUACGGAGGGUGCAAGCGUUAAUCGGAAUUACUGGGCGUAAAGCGCACGCAGGCGGUUUGUUAAGUCAGAUGUGAAAUCCCCGGGCUCAACCUGGGAACUGCAUCUGAUACUGGCAAGCUUGAGUCUCGUAGAGGGGGGUAGAAUUCCAGGUGUAGCGGUGAAAUGCGUAGAGAUCUGGAGGAAUACCGGUGGCAAAGGCGGCCCCCUGGACGAAGACUGACGCUCAGGUGCGAAAGCGUGGGGAGCAAACAGG